ensembl:lncRNA
CUCGGGUUCUGCUGUGGUGCAGUGGUUGCAUAGCCUUUCCUCUAUAGGGAGCCAGGUUUUUCCUGUGUCUACCCUUCUCAAUGGCCACCAUACCCACCACAGAUACGGGCAGGAGGAGAGGCAGAGAAAACCAACACACACACAGCUGGACUGAUCAGACUGAAGGACCUGAGCCCUAGGACCAUGCCCCAGGAUUACCUGACAUGAUGACUCCUUGCUGUCCCCAGUCCACCUGGCCGUGCUGCUGCUCCAGUUUCAACUGUUCUGCCUUCUUAUUAUUCGAACAUGCUGGUCAUUUAUGAACAUUUGAACAUCUUGGCCAUGUUCUGUUAUAAUCUCCACCCGGCACAGCCAGAAGAGGACUGGCCACCCCACAUAUGCUCUCUCUAAUUCUCUCUUUUUUUUCUCUCUCUCGGAGGACCUGAGCCCUAGGACCAUGCCCCAGGACUACCUGACAUGAUGACUCCUUGCUGUCCCCAGUCCAUCUGACCGUGCUGCUGCUCCAGUUUCAACUGUUCUGAAUUAUUAUUAUAUGACCAUGCUGGUCAUUUAUGAACAUUUGAACAUCUUGGCCAUGUUCUGUUAUAAUCUCCACCCGGCACAGCCAGAAGAGGACUGGCCACCCCA